CCCCGGGCCCCCGGGUUCUACUGUUGGUUCCAAGGAACAGUCAGAGAAGUUCACUGGGACGCCAAGCGGAGUGAGUCACCAUAGUGUACCGCGAAAAUGCAAAGUGAAUAUUUUUUCAAAGGCAUGUGCGGCGGAGGGGAGGGGGAAUUUUUUUUUUUUUGACUUAAAAAAAAAGGCUCGUGCCGUGGGCUGCAAUCCCCAAUAUGGCGACCAGGUGUGCGAGGAGCUUGUGCCUGGAGAUGUGCUGUAAGGGAGCUCAGGUUUGCAAAGCCGGAAUUUGUUCAACGAUGCGUCUCAUUGAGAAUGUUUUAUAUUGAUUAUUGAGAUGUUUUGACAUAUUGAAUUAAGAGAAGUAUAUUACCAAAAGUUCCAGCAACAUAGGGCACUGACAAUUCUGUGUUGAAAAAUGAUUCAAAAGGCGUUAGAGAAUUUAAGGAGCCCCUUAGAAUUAAAUGAAUUUAUUGCGUUCAUAUUUCACUUUUGAGAUAUGCGUGAUAGUCAAACACUAAAGUCUAUAUGUAAGCCUGCAGAGGUCUGGAAAAAGUCCAAACUUUGUAGGUAAUGAGGAAGCAUGUUGUUCAAACAGCAAGGAUCUUUACGUCCUUAGCGUCACGGCGUGACUGUGAUGGUUCUCAGUACCAUCCUCACAAAUGUAAUCAGUGAUAUUUGAACCUUUCAUCCCCACUUGAUAAGAAAUACAACCAAACCCGAAAGAAGUUAGACGACUUUCCUAAGAGCGUGAAUCUAUGAGUAGUUACAGCAGAGCUGGGAGUCGGACGAAAUUCUGAUUCCCAAGCCAAUGCUCUUUUCGUUCCUGGUUGCCCUUAUAAUGCUGGUCCUGAGAGUCAAUGCUGACACUACUAGAGGAGCUCUCAGGAGCCUCAGGUGUUUACUUUUAGUGGUUCUUAGUUCUUUCCAUCCCACACACUUAUUUUUUUUUAAGAUUUUAUUUAUUUAUUCAUGAGAGACGCAGACACAGAAAGAGAGGCGGAGACACAGGCAGAGGGAGAAGCAGGCUCCAUGCAGGGAGCCCGACGUGGGACUCAAUCCCGGGUCUCCAGAAUCGCGCCCUGGGCCGAAGAAAAAUACAGAUGGAAGCAAAAAGACAAGAAUGACACACAAGAAGAUGCAUAGACACAAAAAAGUCACGGAAUCCCUUCAAUGGCAAUUUGAAGACCUUAAGGUAACCAGGUCCUUAGAUCCAUGUUGGCUCCUUCUAGUUGCCAAAAUAACUUUUCCUCUUCCAACAGAAGUGCAACUCCCAUGAAGUUUCUGCCUCCCUCUUUUUCACUAGUGUUUGUGGUGGGAGUCUAAGGCACCCCAUGAUCCCACCUUCUGGUGUUCAUGUCCUAGGAUGAUCACCUCCCCUGAGUGUGAAUAGGACCAGUGGCUUGUCUCUUUUUCUUUUCCAGCUUUAUUGAGGUGGUAUUGACAAAUUAAAAAUGUGUAUAUUUAACAUAUACAAUGUGAUGUUUUGAUAUAUUUAUACAUUGUGAAAUGAUUCACAAGCUAUAUAUAUCACUCAAUUACCAAUUUUUUAUGUGUGAUGAGAAUACUUAAGGUUCACUUUCUUAGGGUGCCUGGGUGGCUCAGUCUGUUAAGUGUCUGCCUUCAGCUCACAUCAUGAUCCCAGAGUCCUGGGAUCCAGUCCUGCAUCUGGCUCCCUGCUCGGUGGGGAGUCUGCUUCUUCCCCUUCCUUUGCCCCUCCUCCUGUUCAUGCUCUUUCUUUCUCUCUCUCUCUCUCUCUCUCUCUCUCAAAUAAAUAAAUAAAUAAAAUCUUUUUUAAAAAUU